rnacentral:rRNA from 1 species
CAUCCUGGUGCGAGUGGCGAACGGGUGAGUAAUAUAUCGGAACGUGCCCAGUCGUGGGGGAUAACGUAGCGAAAGCUACGCUAAUACCGCAUACGAUCUAUGGAUGAAAGCGGGGGAUCGCAAGACCUCGCGCGAUUGGAGCGGCCGAUAUCAGAUUAGGUAGUUGGUGAGGUAAAGGCUCACCAAGCCGACGAUCUGUAGCUGGUCUGAGAGGACGACCCAGCCACACUGGGACUGAGACACGGCCCAGACUCCUACGGGAGGCAGCAGUGGGGAAUUUUGGACAAUGGGCGCAAGCCUGAUCCAGCCAUGCCGCGUGCAGGAUGACGGUCCUAUGGAUUGUAAACUGCUUUAUACAGGAAGAAACACUCCGACGUGUCGGAGCUUGACGGUACUGUAAGAAUAAGGAUCGGCUAACUCCGUG